UACGUAGGUGACAAGCGUUAUCCGGAUUUAUUGGGCGUAAAGCGCACGCAGGCGGCCAUUCAAGUCUGACGUGAAAUCUCUCGGCUUAACCGGGAGCGGUCGUUGGAAACUGAGUGGCUUGAGGCGAUGAGAGGGGUGUGGAAUUCCCGGUGUAGUGGUGAAAUGCGUAGAGAUCGGGAGGAACACCCGUGGCGAAGGCGGCCAACUGGGCCGGACCUGACGCUGAGGCGCGAAGGCGUGGGGAGCGAACGGG
rnacentral:rRNA from 1 species